AACGCUAGCUACAGGCUUAACACAUGCAAGUCGAGGGGCAGCAUGGUCUUAGCUUGCUAAGGCCGAUGGCGACCGGCGCACGGGUGAGUAACACGUAUCCAACCUGCCGUCUACUCUUGGACAGCCUUCUGAAAGGAAGAUUAAUACAAGAUGGCAUCAUGAGUCCGCAUGUUCACAUGAUUAAAGGUAUUCCGGUAGACGAUGGGGAUGCGUUCCAUUAGAUAGUAGGCGGGGUAACGGCCCACCUAGUCUUCGAUGGAUAGGGGUUCUGAGAGGAAGGUCCCCCACAUUGGAACUGAGACACGGUCCAAACUCCUACGGGAGGCAGCAGUGAGGAAUAUUGGUCAAUGGGCGAGAGCCUGAACCAGCCAAGUAGCGUGAAGGAUGACUGCCCUAUGGGUUGUAAACUUCUUUUAUAAAGGAAUAAAGUCGGGUAUGCAUACCCGUUUGCAUGUACUUUAUGAAUAAGGAUCGGCUAACUCCGUGCCAGCAGCCGCGGUAAUACGGAGGAUCCGAGCGUUAUCCGGAUUUAUUGGGUUUAAAGGGAGCGUAGAUGGAUGUUUAAGUCAGUUGUGAAAGUUUGCGGCUCAACCGUAAAAUUGCAGUUGAUACUGGAUAUCUUGAGUGCAGUUGAGGCAGGCGGAAUUCGUGGUGUAGCGGUGAAAUGCUUAGAUAUCACGAAGAACUCCGAUUGCGAAGGCAGCCUGCUAAGCUGCAACUGACAUUGAGGCUCGGAAGUGUGGGUAUCAAACAGGAUUAGAUACCCUGGUAGUCCACACGGUAAACGAUGAAUACUCGCUGUUUGCGAUAUACAGCAAGCGGCCAAGCGAAAGCGUUAAGUAUUCCACCUGGGGAGUACGCCGGCAACGGUGAAACUCAAAGGAAUUGACGGGGGCCCGCACAAGCGGAGGAACAUGUGGUUUAAUUCGAUGAUACGCGAGGAACCUUACCCGGGCUUAAAUUGCAGAUGAAUUACGGUGAAAGCCGUAAGCCGCAAGGCAUCUGUGAAGGUGCUGCAUGGUUGUCGUCAGCUCGUGCCGUGAGGUGUCGGCUUAAGUGCCAUAACGAGCGCAACCCUUGUUGUCAGUUACUAACAGGUUCCGCUGAGGACUCUGACAAGACUGCCAUCGUAAGAUGUGAGGAAGGUGGGGAUGACGUCAAAUCAGCACGGCCCUUACGUCCGGGGCUACACACGUGUUACAAUGGGGGGUACAGAGGGCCGCUACCACGCGAGUGGAUGCCAAUCCCAAAAACCUCUCUCAGUUCGGACUGGAGUCUGCAACCCGACUCCACGAAGCUGGAUUCGCUAGUAAUCGCGCAUCAGCCACGGCGCGGUGAAUACGUUCCCGGGCCUUGUACACACCGCCCGUCAAGCCAUGGGAGCCGGGGGUACCUGAAGUGCGUAACCGCGAGGAGCGCCCUAGGGUAAAACUGGUGACUGGGGC
rnacentral:rRNA from 1 species